rnacentral:rRNA from 1 species
UACGUAGGUGGCAAGCGUUGUCCGGAUUUACUGGGCGUAAAGAGCGCGCAGGCGGUCGUUCAAGUCGCGUGUGAAAGCCCCCGGCUCAACUGGGGAGGGUCACGCGAUACUGAUCGACUCGAAGGCAGGAGAGGGAAGUGGAAUUCCCGGUGUAGCGGUGAAAUGCGCAGAUAUCAGGAGGAACACCGAUGGCGAAGGCAGGUCUCUGGGCCGAUACUGACGCUGAGGAGCGAAAGCUAGGGGAGCAAACGGG